GACCGCGUAGCUCAGUUGGAAGAGCAUUGGGCUAGUAUUCCAAAGGUCGUAAGGUUCGAAUCCCACCGUGGGCG